rnacentral:rRNA from 1 species
UACGAAGGGGGGCUAGCGUUGCUCGGAAUCACUGGGCGUAAAGGGUGCGUAGGCGGGUCUUUAAGUCAGGGGUGAAAUCCUGGGAGCUCAACUCCAGAACUGCCUUCGAUACUGGGAAUCUUGAGUUCGGGAGAGGUGAGUGGAACUGCGAGUGUAGAGGUGAAAUUCGUAGAUAUUCGCAAGAACACCAGUGGCGAAGGCGGCUCACUGGCCCGAUACUGACGCUGAGGUGCGAAAAGCGUGGGGAGCAAACAGG